rnacentral:tRNA from 1 species
CCGAUGUAGCUCAGUUGGUCAGAGCAGCUGAUUUGUAAUCAGCAGGUCGUGGGUUCGACUCCCUCUAUCGG